AGUAAUGUCUGGGAAACUGCCUGAUGGGAGGGGGUAACUACUGGAAACGGUAGCUAAUACCGCAUAACGUCGCAAGACCAAAGUGGGGGGACCUUCGGGCCUCAUGCCAUCAGAUGUGCCCAGAUGGGAUUAGCUAGUAGGUGGGGUAACGGCUCACCUAGGCGACGAUCCCUAGCUGGUCUGAGAGGAUGACCAGCCACACUGGAACUGAGACACGGUCCAG
rnacentral:rRNA from 1 species